AUUGAACGCUGGCGGCAGGCCUAACACAUGCAAGUCGAACGGUAACAGGAAGCAGCUUGCUGCUUCGCUGACGAGUGGCGGACGGGUGAGUAAUGUCUGGGAAACUGCCUGAUGGAGGGGGAUAACUACUGGAAACGGUAGCUAAUACCGCAUAACGUCGCAAGACCAAAGAGGGGGACCUUCGGGCCUCUUGCCAUCGGAUGUGCCCAGAUGGGAUUAGCUAGUAGGUGGGGUAACGGCUCACCUAGGCGACGAUCCCUAGCUGGUCUGAGAGGAUGACCAGCCACACUGGAACUGAGACACGGUCCAGACUCCUACGGGAGGCAGCAGUGGGGAAUAUUGCACAAUGGGCGCAAGCCUGAUGCAGCCAUGCCGCGUGUAUGAAGAAGGCCUUUCGGGUUGUAAAGUACUUUCAGCGGGGAGGAAGGCGAUAAGGUUAAUAACCUUGUCGAUUGACGUUACCCCGCAGAAGAAGCACCGGCUAACUCC
rnacentral:rRNA from 1 species